ACGAACGCUGGCGGCGUGCUUAACACAUGCAAGUCGAACGGAAAGGCCCCUUUGGGGGUACUCGAGUGGCGAACGGGUGAGUAACACGUGAGUAACCUGCCCUUGACUUCGGGAUAACUUCAGGAAACUGGGGCUAAUACGGGAAAGGAAUCCUGGCGGCAGGGGGGGGGUGGAAAGGCUUCGGCGGUUUUGGAUGGACUCGCGGCUUAUCAGCUUGUUGGUGGGGUAGUGGCUUACCAAGGCUUUGACGGGUAGCCGGCCUGAGAGGGCGACCGGCCACAUUGGGACUGAGAUACGGCCCAGACUCCUACGGGAGGCAGCAGUGGGGAAUAUUGCACAAUGGGCGGAAGCCUGAUGCAGCAACGCCGCGUGCGGGAUGACGGCCUUCGGGUUGUAAACCGCUUUCAGCAGGGGCGAAGCUUGUGGUGACGGUACCUGCAGAAGAAGCACCGGCUAACUACGUG
rnacentral:rRNA from 1 species